rnacentral:rRNA from 1 species
GAUGAACGCUGGCGGCGUGCCUAAUACAUGCAAGUCGAGCGAACAGACGAGGAGCUUGCUCCUCUGACGUUAGCGGCGGACGGGUGAGUAACACGUGGAUAACCUACCUAUAAGACUGGGAUAACUUCGGGAAACCGGAGCUAAUACCGGAUAAUAUAUUGAACCGCAUGGUUCAAUAGUGAAAGACGGUUUUGCUGUCACUUAUAGAUGGAUCCGCGCCGCAUUAGCUAGUUGGUAAGGUAACGGCUUACCAAGGCAACGAUGCGUAGCCGACCUGAGAGGGGGAUCGGCCACACUGGAACUGAGACACGGUCCAGAGUCCUACGGGAGGCAGCAGUAGGGAAUCUUCCGCAAUGGGCGAAAGCAUGACGGAGCAACGCCGCGUGAGUGAUGAAGGUCUUCGGAUCGUAAAACUCUGUUAUUAGGGAAGAACAAAUGUGUAAGUAACUAUGCACGUAUUGACGGUACCUAAUCAGAAAGCCACGGCUAACUACGUG